GAAAUUUGAUUUUCCUUACGGAAAUGAUUCGUGAACUUUUGUAUGUAUUUUGAUGGAUAAACUAUUUGGUGUUCUUUUAAAAAAUGUCUAAAUUGAUACAAGACCUAUUAAUCUUGCGCAAAACUGCAAACUUGAAUUUAUAAGUAGAUUUGUUCAUGUUUGAGUCAUUUCAAAUCAUAUGUAGUAAUGUACAUAUGCCAUGAAUGAUUUGGUUAAAU
rnacentral:lncRNA from 1 species